UUUAGUUACAAAAAACGUGAUGCAAUUCCUCUCAUAAAAAUGGAGUGCCUGCGUCACUCAACAUUUGAUUUGCUGCUACUGCCAAAGGCAGAAAAUAAUAAAUGCCAGAGAGGAAUCAACACAGAUCCUUCAUUUAAUCAUCUUUAUUCAGCCUUGUAACCAGCAGCAAAGGUUGCAAAUAUUAAGCUACAAAUGGAAACUGUCAGACCUUUCCAAAGAAUUGUGAGAAGACAGUCUUCACUCAAGUUGCUGUCCUGUUAUGCAAGGCAGAAAGCAUACAUACUCUCCUAAUUUGUAAGUACCUAGGACUUAUGAGGAAUUCAACCUGUACCAACACAGAAUCAUCUAAAUGGAAAGCUGAUGUCUCCAUAUUGCCCUCCUGGAGCUGCCUGGCAUGGCAGAUCCUAAUGUCUUUCCAACAAACACAGGAGAAGCCAGGAAGGAAAACGUAGCUUAUGCUGCUCAACAUGCCAAUAUCUCCUAGAAAGACUUCUGAUCAGAAAUCAGCAGUAACCAAUUUGACUCUUCACCCCAUUGCCUACAAUCACACAGACUGGAGGGGUUGGAAGGGAGCUCUAUAGAAAUCAAGUCCAAACACCACUAUGAAAUCACAAUAGAUCACACAGGAAGGAGUCCAGGCAAGCCUUGAAUAUCUUCAGAGAGUUCACUGAAUACUCAGGACUUCAUUCAGAGCUCCCACACUGGUACAGGCAUGAACCAAUGCUGGACAUCAACAAGCCAACAGUUCAUUUCUCUUCCCUCCUUGACAGCAUGAAUCUGUCUUUAUAGGUCUAAAAAUACUGUGCCACUGCACACUGCCUGGGAAUCUUCUCAGGUAAUCAACUCUUCCCCAUGUUCCCAUACAGACUUGUAAACUUCCUUUUCUAUUUUCACACUAAGGAAAGUACCCUUUUCAUGAGCCAGAGUCUCAUGAAACUUCACCACAGCUCUCAGACAUCUUUCAGCAGGUUUAUCUAGCUCCUAGCUCAACCACUUUUAUCUCUAUAUGUGAGAGGAUAUCCUGCCUCUUCUGAAUAGUUUUAAAGUAGUUCUAAGAACUAAACUGCUUUUCUUGUAAUUGCUAGAAGUAAAUUAAACUUUCAAAUUCUUUGUAAAGUUUGGCUUUGGAAGACAUACCCCAAGUUGGAAGGAAACCAUAAGAAACACUGAGUCUGACUUCUGGCUCCCAAAAAUCAAAACAUACAUCCGACAGUGUUGUCCAGACACUUCUUCAACUCUGACAGCUCAGUGUCAAGACCACUGCCCUGGGAAACCCGUUCUAUACCCAUCACCCUCUGGUAAAGAACCUUUCCCUAACCCCCCAGUCUGACCCUUUAAUGACACAGCACCAUGCCAUCCUUUGGGUACUGUUAGCAACUGCUGUAGCAGAGCUCAGUGCUGCCCUCCACUCCCUGUGAGGAGCUGCAGCAACGACGCUUCCCCUCAGCUCUGGGGUGAACAAACCAUGAGACCUCAGCUGCUCCUCAUAUGUCAUCCCCUCUAGAACCUUCACCAUCUUCCUAGCUCUCUUUUGGAUGGUCUCUAAUAGUUUUAUUUCCCAUAAUUACUAAUUUAAAAUAGAUCUUGAGUGGGACAAAAGCAACAACAAUAAAAAACAUGAAGCCAUUUCUUAGUGAAAUACUAAAAAAGGAGUAUCAAGAAUUCUCAAAAAUGGGCACUGGUAAAGAGACAGGAUUAUCCUAAAAAUCACCAAAGUGGAAAAAAAUGAAGAUUGUUUGCCCCUUGCUUCUACAGGACUCAAAUGCUUAAGACAACAGAAACCAAAAUGAAAUUGAAACUUGUACAGGAUACAGUUUGAAAUAAGAGUUAUUUCAAUAUAUGAGCAUAACUGUACUAGACCAAGUCCUCUAUAUAGUACAUUUAUUCUGUUCCCUAUUAUGAAAACAGAUACAAUAUAUGUCCUAAUAAAGUUAGGCCUAUCUCUGAGCAUGACACACUAAAGGAAAUUCAGGUAUGAUUUUAUUUGACUAAUACAGUCAAAUAUGUAAGAACCACCAUCUUUCAUCUAAUUGUUUUAAUCUGCAAAGUCUAGAUAGUCUUUGAAUUUCACUGUAAUAUGUGCUACAAAAAUGUUUGCUCAUUUUCUCAAGAGGGUAAGUAAUAAUGGGGCACUAAUUGUUCUGCCAUCAGCCUAAGCAUACACAUAAUCCUUAAUUAAUAUUUAACCAGCACUUACAUUU